AGUUGGCGCCCAGGUCCCGCUGGGACUGCGCCCCCGGGCCCUUCCCGAGCUCUCCGCCCCUCGUAGCACUGAGAAAACCUAAGGCUUCACUGGAGCGCGCGGUGUCCAAAGAUUACAGUCUCCCCCGCUCCGCCAGGAAGUAGCCUCCCCCAGAAAAACAGCUGAGACUUGAGUCCCAAACCCUGCUGAGAUCCAGGGUCUAGUGUAAACUCUUCAGCUACCAGGGCGUGGCGCUUGGUGAGAAUUUGCCAGCCAGCACUGGCAUGUAGCUAAGUCUAGACGGCUCCGAGUGGCUUGUGAGCGGGAUCCACGAGGGGAGGUGAGAAGAGGGAAACCCAAGUGCACCUGACCUUUGCUCUCAGCGUACAUAGUAGCGGCAGCCACCUAGAUAGAUGCCCAAGGCCUGAGGGUGGUGCCUAUCUGGCCUCUUCGGACCUUCAGGUUAUGAAGCCAUCAAAGACACGAUGAGGUCUCCACGUGGUUCCACUCGGGUCUCAGGAAGUCAAGAAUGCAAGAUGCGGGAGGCGCUGGGUGCGGAGUUCGCUCGGCGACUUCAGAAGUUGGGCUUAGCAAGACAUCUGAACGCUGAACCCCCGUGAUGCCGCUGGACUGAGCACCAACCACACCCAAGCAUGGAUCACGCGGGACCCGGAACGGUCCCCCACCCCCAACCCAGCGCCUCCCCAGGCUCCCCAGAGCGCUACGUGCCAAGGUGAGGCCCAGGAAAAAGCCGGGGAGACCGGAUGGAGAAGUUGCUCUAGUUUGUAGAGCUGGGUGGGCCGGCCGAGUCGGCACGCCCUCAACACCGAACCUAGAGCCUGGUCCCCACAACCUGGGACGCGCUUGGAAGCUGCUUCCUCUCCCCUCCAUUCUUAUUGCUAAGGCCUUCGGUCGACCCUCUGGAGAUAAUCACACUGAGAAGUUAACACUCUACACCUGUUUGCUUUUUUUUUUUUUUUUUUUUUUUUUCAGAAGGCUGUCAGAUGGAGUUAGUCAAAGGGAUGCCAUUGACUUUCGAGCGCUGGAGAUUGAAUUUCAGCCAGCUCGACCAAGACCACGAAGUCUUACUUACAGCCGCAGAAAGAAGUAAGUGCGAGUUGUUUGGGUUGAGCGCAGAGCCACGUGUGUACGGUCAUCCACAAGAAGGAAUUCUGAGUCAGUGGUUCUGGAAAUGUUAAGAUUGACAAUCUGCAGACCGAUCUGUUCUUAUGUUUGUCACUACGUUCCCAAACAACAACAACAACUUGGAUUUUUAUAUGUUCACAUAAACUGUUAACCACUGUCACUCUGAACAAGAAAGGAAGAGAAAUUGUAUGCUUUUCUUGACUCUGAGGAAUUUUUUCCCACGAUUAUAUUUAUAAUUCAGAAAGCCAAUAAAAGAAGCAAAUUAGAAGUU
rnacentral:lncRNA from 1 species